AUUGUUGAGGUGAUAAUUCUAAGUUUUAAAUAAUGUGAGUCUCUGCUGUUUUCAAACCUCUUUCAGAGAGACUGCCGCUCUGUUUUGCUUGAGGACAAGCAAAAGGGUAAGUUUGGGUGAGUUGAUAGACCAUGGAUAUUACCCGUUUUCAGCCAUGGCCUAUAAGUGUUUUAAUAACUAAUUAAUACUAUAUAGAGUCUGUUUAGAGUGUUUACAGGUUCAGGGACGAUUUGGAGGAAAGUAAUGAUUUUGGUGUCUUUUGGAGCCUUUUGAGUGUAGAGCUGCACAGACGCGUCAGAUGUCUAGCUAUAGAUGGUGAC
rnacentral:lncRNA from 1 species